GCUCUCAGAGAAGCUUCCAGUGGAACCAAAGGAAUACAGAUGGAGGGCCUGGGGAGAGAUGGCCUGAGGGGACCUGCAGAAGGGAUUUACCUGCUGCCCCUCCCCCAGGGGAGCCAGGAGACUGAGCUGGGCUGUAAACACUCCGUGCCUGGUGCAGCCUGGUCUGCACAGGCUGAGAGGAUGCUCUACUUCUAAACCCCAUAAGGAAAAGGCCCAGGAGGGACGGGGAUGUUGCUGCUGAUAGCUAAAAAUGAUCAAAUUCUUACCAUAUGCCAGACCUUAUGCUGGACAAUUCACUGACAUUAUCCCACGUAGUAGGCAGAAUUCUAACGUGACCCCCAAGAUUCUCCACCUUCUGUGUAAUCCCCAGGAUUGUGAAUGUGAUGGAUUUCAUUCUGGUAAACAGGUUUUGUUAUAUGGCACAGAUGACUUUAAGACAGGGAGGCUUUAAAUCUGUGACUAGCAGAAGACAUAUGGAAGGCAGAGAUUCAAAAUAUAAGAGGGAUCUGACGCACCACUACUGGCUUGAAAAUGGAGGGGACCACAUGGCAGAGGACGCACGCAGCCUCUAGUUGCUGAGGGUGGUCUCCAGUUGACAGCGGCAAGGUAACAGGGGCCUCAGUCCUACAACCACAAGGAACUGAACUCUGCCAACAUACUGAAAGAGCUUGAAGGAGGAGCAUAAGCCUCAGGGGUGAGAUCAUAGACCCAGACAAAGCCUUGAUUUUAGUUGCCUAAAACCCCGAACUGAGAACCCAGGCAUCUUGAGUGGGACUCCUAACCCACAGAAACUGUGAGAUUAAUAAUUAGUGGCGUUUUAAAAGGGUUAACUUAUGAUAUUUUUAAAAUUAGCAACACAGAAAAUCAUACACCCCAUGUGAUACCCAUCAUAACCCUCUCAAGUAGGCUUCACCAUUUUAUAGACAAGGAAACAAAGACCCAGGGAAAUUAGGAAUUUGCCCAAAGUCACAUAGCCUGUGAGUGGCAGAGACAGGUUUAAACCCAGCUAUGUCUUGACUUUAUGGUCAGUGCUCUUCAUUGCCUCAUGCAUUUCCUCUCUGUAUGAGAAGAGAGCCUCAGACACAUGGUGAAAAGAGUAUGGAACUGUUUCUGUCUGCCUGGGUGUGGAUGUGCAGAAGGGUCAGAGGACCUAUGCUUUUGUUUUGGUUUUAAAUGGUGAAAAGACAUAUACAUAGAAUCAACUAGCUGGAUUCAGUUUAGAUGAUCCCAAUAUGCCUUCUUCUCUCCAUCAGGCCUGAUCAGGGUGUUGGCUUUGGCCACAGCAGUGUCACUGAGCUUCUUCACAGCCUGUUUGAUCUGGUGCUUGUUGGCUUUGACAUCCACAAUGGACACAAGUUGUGUUGUUGUCUUCUAUCUUCUUCAUGGCUGACUCAGUGGUUGGGGGAACCUGAUGAUGAAUUAUUGGUCAAGCUUGUUUCUCCUGGGAGUGCUCUUCCAAGCAUAUUUCUGCUGCCUGCAGAGCCACACUGUCUUGGGCCACUGGCAGGUGGGUGAUGUGUGGAUUGGAUCUUCUUUUUGUGGCUGUGGACACCUUUAAGCACUGCCUUCCUGGCCUUCAAAGCAUUCGCUUUGGCUUCAGCUUUGGGAGGGGCAAGAACUUUUUUCACUUUUGGUGCCAUAAUGUGAAAAUGAGGACCUAUGUUGAGCCCUCACUCCUCUAGAAGCCAGCUGUGUGCCCUCGGCAAAGUCAAUUAAUCACUCUGAGCCUCAGUUUUUAUAAUCUGUAUGAGGCCUACUAAGAAUUUCUGCAUUAUAACCCUUGAAGGGCUGCAGCUGAUGAUCCCAUAAAAGUGUGUGAGGGGCCACUGUGAAUGAAGUCCACAGGGCAGACAGAGGCACCUGGAUGUCAUGUAGAUAUCAUUUUCUUUUCUUGAUGACUGCCAAUUUCAAUGUCCUCUGCCUAUAGGCUGGAUAUGGUCACUCUGAUGGCUUAUUUGGAGGAAGUAAUUUUAAAUAGGUUUUUUUUUUAGAGGAAAUGAUUAUUUAUUACAUUUAUUGAAAAACUACAGAAUAAGAUGGAAGGUAAUUUUUCUUUUUUUCUUGAAUUCUUUAAAAGUUAGUUGACUAUUAAAAGCCAAAGUAAUAACAAAAAAAAAAAAAAAA
rnacentral:lncRNA from 1 species